GGCGCUAUGGUGUAGUGGCAGCACAUGGGAUUCUGAUUCAGCUGAGAGGUAAAGGUUCCCAUAACCCAGGUUCGAACCCUGGUAGUACCU